UGGUCGCUCCUACCCGYCCCCCUCCAGGCACGUGACCCCCGUUAGGAAGGUGUUUAGAGCACUGUCCCAGCCUCUGCCGGAAUCGCGGAGGACACUGCGCCUCCCGGGACGGCUCCGGCGCCUGCAGCCCAGGGACUGGGMGGGAAGCGACGCUGAGGCGCGUCCUGGUUCUCGGCCCUUCUCCCUCGGAGGUGGCAGGAGACAGGGUCAGCCUGUGACAUUCUCACCUCCCUGGCCUUGCCAACGCUGAUGGUAGGAGUGGGGACACCCAGCUUGAGUUUCUUGUACUUAUAUCUGUCUUUUCUAGAUGGCAAGUUAGAAGUGGUUUCCGCUGAUGAUAGGAAGCUUCCUGGAGACAAGCUGCUGCCGCAGUCCAGGCGGUGUCCCUGCUGGAAGGAACCGAGUGAGUUGGCGGUGACACUGGGGCCUGGCUCCUCUGGGAACUUGGUGUGGAUUUGGAAGUGACCUUGACAGACUCCGUGGAUUCUCAGCCAGAGCUAGCCAGGGGGGUCAGCGCCUCCCGCCAGCACCUGCUGCGGUCCCUGUUCUGCAGUGGACCUCUCUGAGCUGAGCCAGCAAUGGGAGGGCUCUGUAGACCAAGCCCUGUAGGGACCAGUGCCAGCUGGGGCAUUUUGGCGAGGGACGCUAACAGGACUGCAUGUGCAGGCAGAAAAGGGUGACCCCAAGGGCUCUGGUCCAGGAAAUGGGGCUGUGGGAUCCCUGCAGGGGAAGGGCUCCYGAGCUUGUGGGGAGCCCCUGAGCUGGAGGGUGGUGGGAAACUCCAGGGGCGCAGGCAGGAAGAGCUAGAGGCGUAGGUGCUCUUGGGGACAGGUUUCCUCCGAGGCUGCUUGGUGGCCAGCCAAGCCCCACUUAACAGAUGAGCUCACCAAGGUCAGAGAAGAGGAUUACCCAGCCAUAAGUGUCGAAGCUGAAAGGAAAGUUGAGCUGUCCCAGCCCAUGCCCUGGGAGGUGACAGGAAGCCAAGAAGAGGACAGGCAAACUCAAGUCCCCCAUGGAGACUUGCCUGGGUGGCCUUGAAGACAGGGCCUCCCUGAGUUGAUGAGGACCUCGCUAA